rnacentral:rRNA from 1 species
AGUGAACGCUGGCGGUAGGCCUAACACAUGCAAGUCGAACGGCAGCACAGUAAGAGCUUGCUCUUACGGGUGGCGAGUGGCGGACGGGUGAGGAAUACAUCGGAAUCUACUUUUUCGUGGGGGAUAACGUAGGGAAACUUACGCUAAUACCGCAUACGACCUACGGGUGAAAGCAGGGGAUCUUCGGACCCUGCGCGAUUGAAUGAGCCGAUGUCGGAUUAGCUAGUUGGCGGGGUAAAGGCCCACCAAGGCGACGAUCCGUAGCUGGUCUGAGAGGAUGAUCAGCCACACUGGAACUGAGACACGGUCCAGACUCCUACGGGAGGCAGCAGUGGGGAAUAUUGGACAAUGGGCGCAAGCCUGAUCCAGCCAUACCGCGUGGGUGAAGAAGGCCUUCGGGUUGUAAAGCCCUUUUGUUGGGAAAGAAAAGCAGCAGGUUAAUACCCCGCUGCUCUGACGGUACCCAAAGAAUAAGCACCGGCUAACUUCGUG